rnacentral:rRNA from 1 species
AGAGUUUGAUCAUGGCUCAGGAUGAACGCUAGCGGCAGGCCUAACACAUGCAAGUCGAGGGGCAGCAUAAAAAUAGCUUGCUAUUUUGGUGGCGACCGGCGCACGGGUGAGUAACGCGUAUGCAACCUACCCCGUACUGGGGGAUAGCCCGAAGAAAUUCGGAUUAACACCCCAUAGUAUUUUAGAUUGGCAUCAAUUUAGAAUUAAAGGUUACGGUACGGGAUGGGCAUGCGUCCUAUUAGCUAGAUGGUAAGGUAACGGCUUACCAUGGCUACGAUAGGUAGGGGGCCUGAGAGGGUGGUCCCCCACACUGGUACUGAGACACGGACCAGACUCCUACGGGAGGCAGCAGUGAGGAAUAUUGGUCAAUGGGCGCAAGCCUGAACCAGCCAUGCCGCGUGAAGGAUGAAGGUUCUAUGGAUUGUAAACUUCUUUUAUUUGGGAAUAAACCUAUCUACGUGUAGAUAGCUGAAGGUACCAAAUGAAUAAGCACCGGCUAACUCCGUGCCAGCAGCCGCGGUAAUACGGAGGGUGCAAGCGUUAUCCGGAAUCCUUGGGUUUAAAGGGUCC